rnacentral:lncRNA from 10 species
UGCCCUCAUAAAAGAGAUCCUGGAGAGAUCCCUCUCUCGCCCUCUUUCCACCAAGUGAGGAUAUAAGAAGUCAGCCAUCUGGAAACUAGGGAGAGAACCCUCAUGGAACCUGACCAUGCCUGUACCUUAGACUGACCUUAGACUUCCAGCCCCCAGAAUUGAGUUUUUCAAAGCAUUCGUUGGCCUAUCUAGCAGGGACUGAGUGAGAUGGUACAUUGUAUAUUUAUCAAAAGAUGCUUCCAGUUUCACCUUGGCCUGGGCAACUGCAGACAGUCUUCUUGGAUGAUGCUUGUGACUCUUCCCGCAACACCUGAGUGGCCCCUCAUGGUUGGGUACAUGGGUCCCAAAGCUGAGCCUGAAGUCGAUGCUGGGAACUGAGUCACCAAGGGCAUGGAUGCUUCCAUCAAGGCAGACAAGAUUUAAAAACCUAGUUUCAGUGGCACUAAUGAGACCAAUAGCAAACCCAACCUGGGACGUCUUAGGAGACUGGUCACAAUUUCCAUUUCUCUCUCUGCUCGGCGUUUUUGCACAAUCAUGAAGAGUUUGGAGAGCAGGAGGAGGCCUCAAAAAGGACAUCCUGAGCUUCUUGAUAGUGUGUCCGUUGAAGGCCUCAUCACUUAAUUAUAAAGAAAAGUUUUGUUAUUAAUUUGUCUCCUAAGAUUAAAUGGAUCAUAUUUAUCAUUAGGUGCUUUUUAAAAAAUAAAAUUUACUCCUAUUUA